rnacentral:rRNA from 1 species
AUUGAACGCUGGCGGCAGGCCUAACACAUGAAAGUCGAACGAGUGGCGGACGGGUGAGUAAUGUCUGGGAAACUGACUGAUGGAGGGGGAUAACUACAGGAAACGGUAGCUAAUACCGCAUACCAUCAGAUGUGCCCAGAUGGGAUUAGCUAGUUGGUGGGGUAACGGCUCACCUAGGCGCCGAUCCCUAGCUGGUCUGAGAGGAUGACCAGCCACCCUGGAACUGGUUCACGGUCCAUACGCCUCCGGGACGCAUCAUUGGGGAAUAUUGCACCAUUGGCGCAAGCCUGGUGUAGCCAUGCCGCGUGUAUUAAGAAGGCCCUCUUGUUGUAGAGUUCUUUCAGCGGGUAUGCGUUACCCGCAGAAGGGGCACCGGCUAACUCCAUGCCAGCAGCCGCGGUAAUAC